AGCACAAGCAAGCGCAAGUAAUUGUCAAACGUGCAAAACUGUUUCAUUAAAACCCAUCAUUGGAUUAAUACAUUUUUAUUUGCUUUUUUUUUUAAUUCGUUAUCAAUACGUUGUGUAUUAAAAAGAAAAAAAGUUUCAUUACAUUAACUACUGAAUAAAUCAUCAACAGAUCAAAGGAUUGAAUAAGGUGAACGGCAAUUUAUAAUUUUAACAGUUUACCUAAAAUGGAUGCAAAAAGAAUAUGUGUUGAGGAAGAUCAAAAAACCUCUUAUGAUGAUGACAAGGAUCAAAUAGUUGAGAUCAAUUCAUUGGAUUACGACUCAUUAGCACAAAUUUUCAUGUUGCUGCCAAUACCAGAAAGGAUAUACAUGGAAAAAGUCUGUGCCAAAUGGAAAGAGGCAUGUCAACGAGCUUGG